AAUUAUUAUAGUAAAACUAUUGACUAAUCUAGGUUGACAAACUGAAAGUAAUCUCGAAAUCAGACCCAUCAAUGAAUAGUUAUAGUUCUCUGAUGUAUUUGGCUGAAAAAGUUAAAAGAAACUGAAUUAGGUAAAUAGUACAUCAUACUGUUCAUAAGUCCAUAUCUGUAUUUUCCUUAUGCUAGACCGGCAACAACUUUCAGAUGCAAACACCCUCUCUGGAAAUCAGCAUUUAACCGAAGUAAAACCGGAUGUAGUGCUCGAUGACAUCAAUAUGUGAACUGUAAUGUCAAAAAGAUCAAAGUGAGGUCUUAUGAGAUUUUUACAUUAGGUUCCACCAAACGGAAAGAAAACAGGAUGUAAACCAAAUUUAGCAUAAGUGCAAGAAAUAUGUGCUAGUGAAUUUUAUCGGGACUGAGUGCACGAUUGGGAAAUACAGCAACAAAAAUCUCCACUCUGUUAUCUAACUACACAAAAUUUUGACUACCUUUAAAAUUUACAUAUAACUAUGCAAAAAAUUGAAUUAUGCUUACCUUUCAAAUAGAUAAUAUAUAUUGCCGUGGAAAAAUAAAGUUGAUAAACACAAUCAGCUUGGUUUCUCCUCGUACACAUUAACACAAACAACUUAUGUGCGGUGAAAGGGGAAGUUCAUCUUUUCUGUACAGCCGCACUUCAAAUAUGGGGGUUUGACCCACAUGAACCAAAGUAGAGAGAGAGAGAGAGAGAGAGAGAGAGAGAGAGAGGCGGCGACGAACGGUGGGCGCAGAGCAUCGAGGGGUGGACCGGUGGAGGCAGCAACGGCCUCGCCGUUUCUCUCAGUCUCUCUCCCGUCGCCUCUCUGACUCUAUGGAAGAAGGGAGGAGCGGGCGCCGUUUCUCUCAGUCUCUCUCCCGUCGCCUCUCUGACUCUACGGAAGAAGGGAGGAGCGGGCGAGGAGCGUCCGCACGCAAGUUGAUUUCCGUACGUUUCUUCUUUCCUAUAGGUAUAGAAAUUUUCGGCG
rnacentral:lncRNA from 1 species